AUUGAACGCUGGCGGAAUGCUUUACACAUGCAAGUCGAACGGUAGAGGGGGCAACCCCUCGAGAGUGGCGAACGGGUGAGUAAUAUAUCGGAACGUGCCCAGUCGUGGGGGAUAACGUAGCGAAAGUUACGCUAAUACCGCAUACGAUCUAAGGAUGAAAGCGGGGGAUCGCAAGACCUCGCGCGAUUGGAGCGGCCGAUAUCAGACUAGGUAGUUGGUGGGGUAAAGGCCCACCAAGCCAACGAUCUGUAGCUGGUCUGAGAGGACGACCAGCCACACUGGAACUGAGACACGGUCCAGACUCCUACGGGAGGCAGCAGUGGGGAAUUUUGGACAAUGGGCGAAAGCCUGAUCCAGCCAUUCCGCGUGCAGGAUGAAGGCCCUCGGGUUGUAAACUGCUUUUGUACAGAACGAAAAGGUUUCUACUAAUACUAGGAGCUCAUGGCGGUACUGUAAGAAUAAGCACCGGCUAACUACGUGCCAGCAGCCGCAGUAA
rnacentral:rRNA from 1 species